UACAGAGGGUGCAAGCGUUAAUCGGAAUUACUGGGCGUAAAGCGUGCGUAGACGGUAGCGUAAGUCGGGUGUGAAAGCCCCGGGCUCAACCUGGGAAUUGCAUUCGAGACUGCUCUGCUAGGGUGCGGAAGAGGGAAGCGGAAUUUCCGGUGUAGCGGUGAAAUGCGUAGAUAUCGGAAGGAACACCAGUGGCGAAAGCGGCUUCCUGGUCCAGCACCGACGUUCAGGCACGAAAGCGUGGGGAGCAAAAGGG
rnacentral:rRNA from 1 species